GCCAGAGUCUCUGUCGCCCAGGCUGCAGUACAGUGGCGUAAUCUCAGCUCACUGCAACCUCUGCCUCCCGGGAUCAAGCGAUUCUCCUUCUUCAGCCUCCCAAGUAGCUGGGAUUACAGGUUCAAGAGAUUCUUCUGCCUCAGCCUCCCAAGUAGCUGGCACUGCAGACACGCACCACCACACCCAGUCAAAGGAGAAAGCAGUUGAGAUGGGUGUGGCAGAAUGUGAGUGAAAGGUGUGAUCUCACCAGUCCCAGCAAAAGGAAAACAUCAGACCAGAGCCCUUCAGGUGCAUUUGGGAGGCUUCAAAGUUGGAUGCCUGAGGAGAGCUCCUCAGUGUAAAAGAAGUGAAUAUGAGUCUGCAUCCAGUUAUGGCCAAUAACUUCAUAUUCUUUUGUGAUCUAUGGAGUUUCAGAUGUGAGUACAUUCAGACAAGACAAGACCACCACAAACCACUGAGAUAUAUUCAUCUCUGCUGCUUGUGACCUGGGGUCCUCCUGCUUCCCCUCUGACUGCCACUAUUGGGAGGCAGAAGUAGGAAGAACAACAGAAUGGGCUGUGGGUGUAAUUUUGUUUUAUCUUUUUUUUUAGAAUUACUAUUUUUUUUUUACAUUUUUGCUUUUAAAAAUAGUUUUGCUAAAGUAUAAUUGGCAUAUGAUAAACUUCACAUAAAGUAUACAUGUUAAUGAGUGUGACAUAAGUAUUCAUAUGAACCCGUUACCCUAAUCAAGACACUGAACUUGCUGGGCACAGUGGUUCACGCCUGUAAUCCCAGCACUUCAGGAGGCCGAGGCGGGCGAAUCACCUGAGGUCAGGAGUUCGAGACCAGCCUGACUAACAUGGUGAAACCCCAUCUCUACUAAAAAUACAAAAAUU